rnacentral:rRNA from 1 species
UACGAAGGGGGCUAGCGUGGUUCGGAAUUACUGGGCGUAAAGGGCGCGUAGGCGGCGUGUCAAGUCAGGCGUGAAAGCCCCGGGCUCAACCUGGGAACCGCGCUUGAGACUGGCAUGCUCGAGUUCGGGAGAGGAUGGUGGAAUUCCCAGUGUAGAGGUGAAAUUCGUAGAUAUUGGGAAGAACACCGAUGGCGAAGGCAGCCAUCUGGACCGGCACUGACGCUGAGGCGCGAAAGCGUGGGGAGCAAACAGG